CCUACGGGAGGCAGCAGUGGGGAAUAUUGCACAAUGGGGGAAACCCUGCUGCAGCGACGCCGCGUGAGUGAAGAAGUAAUUCGUUAUGUAAAGCUCUAUCAGCAGGGAAGAAAAUGACGGUACCUGAGUAAGAAGCCCCGACUAACUACGUGCCAGCAGCCGCGGUCAUACGUAGGGGGCAAGCGUUAUCCGGAUUUACUGGGUGUAAAGGGAGCGUAGACGGCAGUGCAAGUCUGGAGUGAAAGGCGGGGGCUCAACACCCGGACUGCUCUGGAAACUGUACGGCUGGAGUGCAGGAGAGGUAAGUGGAAUUCCUAGUGUAGCGGUGAAAUGCGUAGAGAUUAGGAGGAACACCAGUGGCGAAGGCGGCUUACUGGACUGUAACUGACGUUGAGGCUCGAAAGCGUGGGGAGCAAACAGGAUUAGAUACCCCAGUAGUC
rnacentral:rRNA from 1 species